rnacentral:lncRNA from 1 species
GUUGUGUCCGCUGAAAACUAAAAAAAAAAAAAUUAAAAAAUUCUCUCUCUCUCUCUCUCUCUCUCUCUCUCUCUCUCUCUCAAAAGUAUUACAUUUCUAAGCUCACUGAAGAGGUCCUCAUUGUAUCAUGCAGAUGUGGUGAUACAGUCAAGUGUUCUCAGAUUUCGAUUCUCCAGAAACCAUGUUAGUGUUGGCUUCUGAAAUAAUAGUUUUGGCAUAUAGCCUGGGGUUUUGCAUUUCUAAAAUAUACACAGGUGAGAUGUUUGUACCACUGAUAACAAAGUCAUUGUGUGAACCCCUCGUCUCAGGCUUUAGCACAAGCAGGCUUCAUUAAGAAACACUGAGUGGGACCCUAAUCCUUGUUUCUGAGUCUGGAAUUCAGUUUUCCAGGAGACAUGAUGCUGAUCCAUUGGAUUUCGGGCCACUUCUAAAAUCUUGUGAGUACUCAGCAAAAUAAAUAAGUAAUAAAUAUAUAUCUAAUAAUUAGAAUUUUCUUAAGACUUCCACCUUGAAGCCACUCUGAUGUUUGUUUUACUAAUAAAAUGAUGAUCUGAUUGAUACUCUAGCAACACUUGGUGGCCAUAAGGAAGUGAGGACUAUGUCUGGAUAAGAUAGUAAUCUGGGAUAAAAAGAAGUUCUACUGAGUCUCAAAGUAGAAGGCUCAUUAACCACUAGAAUUCAGGAAAUGCCCAUGGCCAUUAUUUGACAUUAAAAACAAGCAAUUCCUAAGCAAUCCAGGAUUCCUCCUAUUCCACCAUUCUUGCUCACAAAAUACUAACAUGACACCCAGACAAUGAGCAACCUGAAAUGUAUGGUGUGAAAUCACACAACUCUGCUCUGAUUCCAGCUCUACAUCAUUCCUAACCUAGUGUGCAUCUAUAAAUAACAUCCCAGAUGAAUGGUUUUUUGUAUCUCCCUUAGAGAUGUCCCACAUUUGUCCUUGAAUAUGGACCUGCUUUCCUAAAUAAAUCUUUCCAUGUCUCUGAUUGACAAGUGCUGAAAUUCUGUUCUGCCAUGCACACCAUUGUCCCCACUUUUUCUAAGUUGAUGUCUCUCUUUUCCUUUCUUCCUCCCUCCCUCCCUCCCUCUCCCUCUCAGGAAUCUUCUCCCAUUCCAUUAUAUCAUAUAGUAAGAUUCAUAUGUCAGCACUGGAAUUUGGGACAUUUUUAUAGUUUGGGGGAGAUAAGAAGCAACCGUGAAAAUAAUUUUUUUUUUAAAUAGGCAAGGGACCAGGUUUGGUGGUACAUGCCUGUAAACUCAAGUAUUUGGAGGCUGACUAAGAAGAAUCUCAAGUUCAAGGCCAGACUCAACAUUCUGCCUCAAAAUUUAAAAAUAAAUAAAUAAAUAAAAUAAACAGGAUUGGUAUUGUUGCUGGUUGGUCCAGGAAUCUGGUGUUGUGUGUUGUAGCUCUUGAAGUCUUGAAGGAGAGUAUUUCAAAUGAGCCAUAAAAUGUAGUUGAAGUAUAGCAAAGUUUAUUAGGAAACAAACUUGUAUCAAGAGGGAGCCGAGGGAAAUGAGACAUCUCUCUCACUUUCCCUUUGCCCCCAAGAUUCCUGGGGCAUUAUGGGGGUUUUCAUAUUCCUGCCUAACUUUUAACUGACAAUAGGAUUACAUCAGAGUUUUAAAUCCUUACUGCACAUGGUUUUGCCCAAGCAAAAUCCAUUUGGGGAGGGAGAUUUAACUAUAAUAAAAACUUGUAUUAUUAAAAGAUUAAAAUAAUCUGCUAAAGAUCUAAAUGCAAUGAUUUGUCAUCUUGGCCUGCACUGAUGAGUUCUACUUGGAAUUUUUUUUUUUUACAGAUUUUAUGCUCAGUAGCCUUAGCUUUAAGUAUCCCAUUAACCUAAAUCUUGAACUCUUUGGUCAUUAUGAAGGUCACAAUGUCCUCUUUCAGGGUAAGAUGUUCUUAUUGAUUGAGAGCAGUCUGUGGACAUGCAUUCCUUGGCUCUGAGAGACCAACUAGAAGACAACAGGUGCACCAUGUAGAAAUGUAGCAUCAUAUUCUUUUAAGCCAGAGCAGGCCCAGAAUACCUUAGGUGAAUUGUAUCUUUUUAAAAAAGCAUGUCGUGGGGGUGCAGCAUCUCAUUCCACCAUCUUUUCUGACCUCAUUGUAGGUCCAGCCUAUAGAUUUUUCUUCUCAAAUUCCCCUUUCUCUCACUCAGGUAAAAGAGUCCCACCAAGCUUCUCCUCUUGACUUCUGACUGACAUCAGGAUUGCAUCAGACUUUCAAGUCCCCAUGGAAAGGAGAUUUUAUUACUGUUGAACUAAACAUCCAAGGUGAUCCCAGGUCAUUUUGACCCACAUGGAUUGGUUCUAGUUGGAACUUGUUACACAUUUUGUUUUAGGGAGAAUUACUCUAUCUCCCUGAGUUCUGGAAUCUGGUCUGUGAAAGUGUCACACUCCACCCCAGGUCACUUGUAUUCUUACUGGCAGGGAGGAGCCUUGUGAGGCUGUGUUUCUUCCACAGAUAACAUGUUGUUUGCUGAGGAAUGUAAUAUGUUUUAUUUACUUAAGCUGGGCAGGGCUGUAGGUAAUUACUCUUUUAAAUUUUAUUUAUUUUUAUUUGUUUGAAUUAAUUAUACAUGAUAGAAGAAUGCAUUUCAAUUUAUUUAUGCAAAUGGAACACAGAUUUUUAUUACCCUGUUGUACAUUAUACAGAGUUGGGCCACAUGUGCAGUCAUACAUGUACCUAGGGUAAUGAUUUGCAUCUCAUUCCACCAUCUUUCCUGACCUCAUGCUCCCUCCACUCCCCUCCUUCCCUUUGCCCAAUCAAAGAUCCUCCAUUUACCCCAAGCCCCCCAAUUAUGGAUCAGUAUCCACUUAUCAGAAAAAACCAUCACAAAGAAAUAAGUAUCUGAAGUGUUGGAUGUAUCAAUUAUCCUAAUCUGAUCAUUAAACAUUGUAUACAAGUAUUGAAAUGUCAUAUUCUACCCCAGAAAUAUAUAUAAUUACCAUGUAUGAAUUUUAAAUAAAUAUUUUAAAAGUAUAAAUAUUUAAGAUGGUAG